AAGAAAACAGGAGAAACAAAACAGCUUCUCUAGGGAAUUUUGAAGGCAUUGCUACUUCCAUUCUGCCCCCCUUCGAAAUGGUCCCUAUCCAGGAUCUGGACUCUAUUUGCUAAAACAAGGGUGGCUUAAUGGAGACAAUGGCUUAUUAUUUCUUAAGUGACACAGGAGGGCCCAAGUAUUACAGGCUUAGUUCUUUCAGUCUUUGCCAAGGACACAAGGAACAAAAGAACAAGCAAUUGUGUGUGGAAAGGAGAACUGGGACAGGCCCACUUUGAGACCACUCAGGGAAGCAGAAGAAGUCUCUGUGACUUAGGAAUCAUCCCCACCUGAGGCUGACAGAGGCUGCUACUCCCAGUGAUUCUAGCAGGGUCAUAAAUGACAGCGGGUGCCUUGGCACCUUGGCAUCUUUAUCCCCACCUGAUAAUGGAGUAAACAGAGACCAAGAGAGCUUCGGUGUCUCGCCCAAGAGCACGAGACUGACUCCCAGCAGCGUGAAGUUCAGGAGUGAACCAUGGAGAACACUUGCAGGAUGGAGUCAGGCCUCGGCAGCCCCUGAGACAGCCAGCACCCAGACCAGCCUGCUCCCGCCUGCCUCCAACACCCAGUGUGUCACAGGAGCAGCCUUAAGGACAGUACCUCUGCCAGCCUGUCCCUCUGCAAAGAGAGUGAGGCUACAGCAUGAGGAGGGUGGGCGGAGGACACCCUACGACUCUCAGGGGACUACCAGUGGAGAACUGGAUGGCAUGCCACAGCAGACUGAACGUGGGAAGAAGAUCCAGGCGAGGACUCAGGAGAAGAAUCCAAGCCCUGGACUGAAGAUACAGGUCCCUGAAUGACUGUGUGGAGUAGAGAACCUGGCACAGAUGCAUGGAAUUGAGGAGUAGCAAAUAAUCAUAUUCAUGUCAAGCUGCUAGGCUUUGGGAAGUUGUUUUCUCAAGCAGUUUUCAUAACCUGCUAUGCCUGAAAAAGAAAUGAUAAGUAAUAAUAUCUCAACUAAUAUAUGAGAGAAGAGCUCAGAAAGAACUAUGUCUAAAUAUUAAUAUGGGUUUAUUGUGUUUGUGAUAGUUUUCCCUGCUUACAUUUUCCUGCAUUAUCUAAUUUUGAUUAUCUAAUUUCUUAAAAAUCAAGAUGAUAUAUCACUUUUAAUAACAAAAUGUACUUUACUUUCUCUAACAUGAUUCUUUAUAUUUGUUUUUAAAUUCACCUGCCAGUUUAUUUUGUUUCUUUCCAAUUUGUUAAUUCUGCUUGCACUUGCCUUUGGUGAGUGUUGGUCCUUCUUCACUGAAGUAUAAUGCCUCCUUUGGUUUUUAAACUAUGUGGUGUGUUGCAUAGUCUGUCCAUGUAGGCUUCCUUGGUCAUAUUUUUUUAAUUGCUCCAAUUCUGUGCUAUUCUAGUUUUAUUUCCUUUAUAAAAAUUGUUUAAAUCUAAUAGAGAUAGAUAGUUCUUUUUUACUAGUGCUUUUGAAAAUGCCAUCUGCUUUUCUUGUUUGUUUAUUCUUCUUGAUAAAUUGUUGGGAUCAUUCUGCUUAAAAAUAUGGGACUAUUAUUUUGCUAUUGUUUAAGCUAACAAAUACAUUGCAUCUCAUUCUCUGUCAUUAGUCAGUACCUAGAAAUCACCUUUUAUGUCCCCCUCCCCUUGGUCACUAGUAUUCUAGUAUUCCCCAUUUGUAUCUCCUCUGCCACCAUCUUUCCAUUCCAGCUCCUUAUCAAUUAAUACGUGGCCUAUUGAAACACGCAUGCCAGUGACAACCCAAAUGUUCUGUCAGUACUCCGUUUCACUUGUAUACUCAGGGUUCUUUAAUACAGCAAUUGAUUCACAAUGUUUAGUGCCUAGAACACGAUGUUUAAUAAACACUGAUUUUAUUCUUUAUCAUUUCCCACCCCCUCCACUAUCUAAGUAGAAAAAUGUGCACUCUCAAGCUUCUGAUUCUUCCCUAACACUAUUUAGCUGAGACAUUUCCUAUGAAAUGGAGGGGAGUAGCAGUUGCAGCAGACCUAGGUCUUGGCUCCACCACAACUGCUAAUGCUCCUUAGAGCACUGUGAAAAAAUCAGUCUAGCCAGGCAUGGUGGUGCACGCCUAUAAUCCCAGCAGCUUGGGAGGCUGAGG